GCUAUGCAUCCUGAACAAUGUGUAAUCCUUCAGCGUACAGAAACAUUGGAUCAGAAUACAGCACAUAAACAAUACUGAUUGAAUAUCUACUCUGGAGCUGUGAUGGGUUGCUCAGCCAACUUUCCUUUGGUUUCAACAAAAAACAAGAAAAACAAAUCUGCUUAUUCACACGCUUAAUAGUAUGGACAAAGCAGACAUUUCAUUUAGGCACCAUAAAGACUCCAGUUGAGAAUGAUUUGCUGUCACAGAGGCAGAGGAUUUUUCCAUCACAGAGUACUUUACACCUUACACUGGAGGUAUUAACAAUUGAUGGUGGAGCUUCCUAUUUGCAAAGUACCUGCUCUAAAGCUGGAUGCAGAUAGAAAAGACCAGGAUUACUUGAUCCAUGGUACCAGUGAGAGCAUCCCAGAAGCCAAAUUGAAAAGAGGCAUUGGAUUCAACCCUGUUCUCUGAGAUAUGUAAAGCAAGUAAGAUGGGAGACCCUGGAAGAAAAAAACACUUGACUAAGAGAAUUUGACUGGCUGUUGAAAUCAAAUUCUUUCCAAGGAGCCUUUAGAUAAGGAGAAAUUUGGCUUGUGGAAUCAUAU